CCUACGGGAGGCAGCAGUGGGGAAUAUUGGGCAAUGGGCGCAAGCCUGACCCAGCAACGCCGCGUGAAGGAAGAAGGCUUUCGGGUUGUAAACUUCUUUUCUUGGGGACGAAGAAAGUGACGGUACCCAAGGAAUAAGCCACGGCUAACUACGGGCCAGCAGCCGCGGUAAUACGUAGGUGGCAAGCGUUAUACGGUUUUAUUGGGUGUAAAGGGCGUGUAGGCGGGAUUGGAAGUCAGAGGUGAAAACCACGGGCUCAACCUGUGGCCUGCAUUUGAAACUGUAGGUCGUGGGUGCUGGGGAGGCAAUCGGAAUUCCGGGUGUGGCGGUGAAAUGCGUGGAUAUACGGAGGAACACCAGUGGCGAGGGCGGAUUGCUGGACAGUAACUGACGCUGAGGCGCGAAAGCGUGGGAGCAAACAGGAUUAGAUACCCCAGUAGUC
rnacentral:rRNA from 1 species